UCGUAGUUCGGUUCAAGUGUUAAUGAACUCGCCAUUGUUGUCGUUAAUUGUCUACAUGGAUUUGAUAAUGCCAAGAUAAUCACAAGAAUAGCCCCAUUAGGGUGUUUGAUAAUAAGCGAUUAUUUCGCAGCCCCGCCUGCCGGCAACACCUGUUUAAAUCGCCCCAUUAGUUCGGGGUAUCCACUUUCAUUACCAGCUGUCAGUACGGGGAAUCCGACUCAACGAAGAUCGCACACAAGUGGCAUCGCAGAAGCUUGGAAUGAAACUGAGCUGG
rnacentral:sRNA from 1 species